rnacentral:rRNA from 1 species
AUUGAACGCUAGCGGGAUGCCUUACACAUGCAAGUCGAACGGAGUGGCGAACGGGUGAGUAAUGUAUCGGAACGUGCCCAGUAGCGGGGGAUAACUACGCGAAAGCGUAGCUAAUACCGCAUACUAUUGGAGCGGCCGAUAUCGGAUUAGGUAGCUGGUGGGGUAACGGCUCACCAAGGCUACGAACCGUAGCUGGUUUGAGAGGACGACCAGCCAAACUGGUACUGAGACCAGGCCCAGACUCCGACGGGAGGCAGCAGUGGUGAAUUUUGGACUAGGGGGGAAACCCUGAGCCGGCCAUCCCGCGUGUGGGAUGAAGGCCUUCGGUUUGGAAAGCAAUUUUGGCAGGAAAGCGGUACCUGCAGAAUAAGCACCGGCUAACUACGUGCCAGCAGCCGCGGUAAUAC